rnacentral:rRNA from 1 species
CAGGGGGAUAACCGGGAGAAAUCCCGACUAAUACCGCGUAACGCCGCGGACCUGCAUGGGUCUGCGGCCAAAGGAAGCGAUUCCGGCGGGGGAUGGGCAUGCGGCGCAUUAGCUAGUCGGCGGGGUAACGGCCCACCGAGGCGACGAUGCGUAGGGGUUCUGAGAGGAAGGUCCCCCACACUGGUACUGAGACACGGACCAGACUCCUACGGGAGGCAGCAGUGAGGAAUAUUGGUCAAUGGGCGGGAGCCUGAACCAGCCAAGUCGCGUGAGGGAAGACGGUCCUACGGAUUGUAAACCUCUUUUGCCGGGGAGCAACGGGGUCCUUGCGAGGGCCCAAUGAGAGUACCCGGAGAAAAAGCAUCGGCUAACUCCGUGCCAGCAGCCGCGGUAAUACGGAGGAUGCGAGCGUUAUCCGGAUUUAUUGGGUUUAAAGGGUGCGUAGGCGGGCUGUUAAGUCAGCGGUCAAAUGUCGGGGCUCAACCCCGGCCUGCCGUUGAAACUGGCGGCCUCGAGUGGGCGAGAAGUAUGCGGAAUGCGUGGUGUAGCGGUGAAAUGCAUAGAUAUCACGCAGAACUCCGAUUGCGAAGGCAGCAUACCGGCGCCCGACUGACGCUGAGGCACGAAAGCGUGGGUAUCGAACAGGAUUGGAUACCCUGGUAGUCCACGCAGUAAACGAUGAAUGCUAGCUGUCCGGGACUUCGGUCCUGGGUGGCACAG